CCUACGGGAGGCAGCAGUGAGGAAUAUUGGUCAAUGGCCGGAAGGCUGAACCAGCCAUGCCGCGUGAAGGUCAGUGCCCUAUGGGCGUUAAACUUCUUUUGUGCGGGAGCAAUAAUGGUCACGUGUGGCCAGACGAGAGUACCGUACGAAUAAGCAUCGGCUAACUCCGUGCCAGCAGCCGCGGUAAUACGGGGGAUGCAAGCGUUAUCCGGAUUUAUUGGGUUUAAAGGGUGCGUAGGCUGGGAGGUAAGUCAGCGGUGAAAUGCCCCCGCUCAACGGGGUGAAGUGCCAUUGAUACUGCCUUGCUUGAAUGCGGAUGCGGUGGGAGGAAGGUGUGGUGUAGCGGUGAAAUGCAUAGAUAUCACACAGAACACCGAUUGCGAAGGCAUCUCACGGAUCCGCGAUUGACGCUGAUGCACGAAAGCGUGGGUAUCAAACAGGAUUAGAUACCCUUGUAGUC
rnacentral:rRNA from 1 species